rnacentral:tRNA from 1 species
CCGACCUUAGCUCAGUUGGUAGAGCGGAGGACUGUAGUGGGUGUAGAUCCAACGGUAAUCCUUAGGUCGCUGGUUCGAAUCCGGCAGGUCGGA